rnacentral:lncRNA from 10 species
GUCCAAUACUUGAAAACCUACAUCUGUAACUUACACGUUCAUAUUACGAAGGGAAAUGUGGCUGACAAAUAUUUACACUAAAAAGACUCCACAUUUUUAUGCCUCGUCUAGUUACACUCCCAGCUGUGCCUGGCUAUGACUAGUUGUGCAUUCUAGAGCUCUUUAGAGCUACUUCAGAGUUGCAGGAUAAAGAUUUCUAGGGAAGAGGGCAGGGCCAGGCGCCCGGAGGAUUUCCAGCCACGGGUAGUUUACCGAGAGAAAAAGCUGCGGGCGUCGCUCCCUCUUUUACAUAAGAAAGGCUAAGCUCUAAAAGGCAGACAACUUCUUCCUGGCCCUUCGGAGAAGCUAGCCCUUGGAACCUAGGCCCUGAGUCGUGAGGAAGAGGAAAGACUACAUGGGGUCACUAUGUAAGGUGUUCCUGGUGACAGCUCCUGCUGAGGACCCAGCUGACAGCAAGCACCAACCUCCAGACAACAAGAGCUUUCUUCUGGCACAUCUGGUUUAUGUGAAUACAUUAGUGAGUUUCCCAGGAAGCCGCAGCAUCACACAAAGGCCCAUGAUCAUUUCACCAGGCCUCUCGAGUGUGCUUGUUUUAUUCAGAGGCUUUUUGCUUUCUUAGAAGACAUUCUCACUCAAUAAUGUGGCAAUACAGGCAAAAUCAGCAGGCCAAGUUUCUGGAAGAAGAGCCAUUUAGGAGCUGCUCCUCCUUCAGCAUGAAUGUCCACUCUCAGACUUUGACAGUGAUGAGGAUAUGCCAGAACACCUCUCUGGCCCUUCAGAGAGCACCGGCCUAGCUGGACUCCGGAUCCCUUAGGGUCCAGCUCUGACUUCCCAUGGAGGCUGUCACCAGCUCACUUCCCUGUGGAACAUCUUCCUGACUCACAACAGCAGCCAGCUCUGCCAGGACUAUGAGCUUCCAGAUGGAGUCUCACUCUGUCAGCAGUCUGGAGUGCAAUGGCGCAAUCUCAGCUGAUCGCAACCUCUGCCUCCCGGGUUCAAGCGAUUCUCCUGUCUCAGCCUCCCGAGUAGCUGGGACUACAGGUGCAUGCCACCAUGCCCAGCUAAUUUUUGUAUUUUUAGUAGAGAUGGAGUUUCACCAUGUUGGCCAGGCUGGUCUCGAUCUCUUGACCUUGUGAUCUGCCUGCCUUGGCCUCCCAAAUUGCUGAGAUUACAGGUGUGAGCCACCACGCCUGGCCUAACAUGGCUUUUAAGACCUCUAAGUAUGUUGCCACUUUACUCCCUGACAGUCUCCUCCUUGCAACCCACAGUACAACCAUAAUAAACUAUUUUGGUUUGUUAAAUGGGCCAUUCCCUCUCUUCAAGAUCCUCACUCAUUUUAUUUCCCCCUCUAGAGCAUCCUUACUGUGUUUAUCUUAUCCUGAGGGCUAAUUUCUGUGUAUUUUUCAGGGUUUAGUUUAUUCAUAACUUCCUCCAGGAGGCCUCCCUAGUCUUGUUAAGAUGCCCUUGCUAUAUGCUUCUUCCAGCAGUAAUGUAUACCUCUCCAGUCAUCCUACAUAGCAUAUUGUGUUAUAACUGCUUGAUUAAAUGACCAUUUCUCCAACUAUACUGUCAGCUCUUUGAAGGCAAGGACCAUGUCUGUAUUGAUCAUCACUGAAUCACCAGUGCCUAGGAGAGAGCCCAGUAUAUGGAAGAAAAUUAUACAAGUGUUGAAUAGAGUGAAAGAAACAAUGAGUUUCUCAUCUUAACCCACAGUAUCCCUAAUAACUGCUGGGUCAUUUUGUUUCACUUCACUCUUAUGCAGUUAUUUUAGGGGGGACUUUCCACCCAUUUCUGACCAACUCUUUGAAUGGCUGCUUUUUGCCAUCAGGAUGACAUUCAAUCUUGGCAUGGGCAUAUAAGGCUCAUUAGGAUCUAGUUCUUGCCUACUUUCCCAGCCUCAUAUCUAUUCCUUUCUUUAAAUAAAAUCCAUGCUCUAACCACACCAGACUGCUUGGCUUUGCCCAAGGUCACCAUGCUGUCUGACUCCUCAGUCCCUCUGCACUGGGACACCUGGCUUUCUACUCCUCGCUAUUUAUAUUUCAACCCAAGGGUGCUCUUGGAAGUCCAACCUACCAAGCUUUCCUCCUACUACCAGUAACAGAAUUGGGUAUUGGUUUUCUGAGUGUUACAGACCCCAUACAUUUUCUCUAUCAUGUUUGAAUUUUGGCUUUCUUCUAAGGUCAUAUUUUCAGGAAGAGCAGGGAGAAGAAUCUUACAAAUCUGUGUGAUCACCCGAUUUAACACAGUACCUGGCACAAAAGGGCAUUCAGUAACUACCUUUUGAGUUAAUGAUUUUCCUUUAAAUGAAUACAAUUUUUUAAAUAUAGGCAAUGAGAACCAAAAGAAGCAAAAGGAGUAUGCAGGCACUGACAUAUAUUUUUAGCCAAAUUAACACAACACACUCAUAUAAUUCUUGUGAGGAUCCAUAUGGACACCUACUGCCAAGAUGAUCACCUAAACUCGAACCUGGGGAGGGUGGACGAGAAUGCUGUUUUCACCUUUCUCUGUUUGGCAUUUAUUUGGGGAGGGGUGUAUCUGGUUUCAAUCGCACUUUAAAAAUAAUGCUUUUAAUAUAUAAGCCUCCAAAUCAUACAUGUUCAUAAAAUAUUCAUCUCAGUCUGACAGGGCCUAGGCAUUUUUCAGUUCCACCACUACUGCAGACUGCUGCCACACUCCAAGACAUUUGCAUUAUAGCGCACAAAUGUGUACUAUUUUUUCCUUUAUUUUCAUCUUGUCAGGUCUGAACAGAAAUAAAAAUACUGAUAGAACAUUCUCUAAGAAGAAAUGAUACUUUACAGCUGACAGUUCUAGAGUAAUUGGACAUUAACAAAAAAACCCCAACCUGUUAUUUUCUUAGAAAAUUUUAGCUGCUUAGUAGACAAUGAAUCCACAAAAGACUGCCUGUGUUUCAUAGAUGAUAUAACCUAGGCAUGCCCCUUAGAGCAAUGCAGACCUCUGUAGCUCAACCUCUUUUAUCUUGAAGUUACCUAGAGACCUACUAAUAUAAUCCUCCCAUGUACUUUGAUCCUCACAGUGUUCAGUAAUAUAAUCCAAAUUCCUAUCGAUGUUUAACAACACAAGAGAGAAGGUGGAAGGACUCCUGCUUAACCACAAAUGUAAAUACUAAAAUAAAUUUAGUCACAGAUCUCCUCCACCUAAAUUUGGUUCUUGAUGCGUGUUCAAAUUCUUUUCACACACACAAACACACCCACCU